rnacentral:rRNA from 1 species
AAUACGUUCCCGGGCUUGUACACACCGCCCGUCAAGUCACGAAAGUCGGUAACACCCGAAGCCGGUGGCCUAACCCGUAAGGGGAGGAGCCGUCGAAGGUGGGACUGGCGAUUGGGACU